UGGAGUGGCAGUCACCCACGUUUUAUAGUCACACAUAUUUGUUCUUGUUGAGGAUUUUCCUUGUGUUUCUUCUUUUUUUUGUUUUCCCUAAUUUUUGCGUAGACUGAUUUUUUGAGCUUAUAGUCUAUCGGGAUGCCCUAAUUUUUUCCUAAGUCACUCGUUUUCAAGUUUUCAACUUAGCGGGCUUUUUUUUUUUAAUUUCUCUUUUUUUUUGUUGGAACAAAUCGUGUGACACUUGUUCGUUUGAUUUGUUGAAGGGU
rnacentral:lncRNA from 1 species